rnacentral:rRNA from 1 species
ACCUAUACGUUGCCUCGGCGGAUCAGCCCGCGCCCCGUAAAACGGGACGGCCCGCCCGAGGACCCCUAAACUCUGUUUUUAGUGGAACUUCUGAGUAAAACAAACAAAUAAAUCAAAACUUUCAACAACGGAUCUCUUGGUUCUGGCAUCGAUGAAGAACGCAGCAAAAUGCGAUAAGUAAUGUGAAUUGCAGAAUUCAGUGAAUCAUCGAAUCUUUGAACGCACAUUGCGCCCGCCAGUAUUCUGGCGGGCAUGCCUGUUCGAGCGUCAUUUCAACCCUCAAGCUCAGCUUGGUGUUGGGACUCGCGGUAACCCGCGUUCCCCAAAUCGAUUGGCGGUCACGUCGAGCUUCCAUAGCGUAGUAAUCAUACACCUCGUUACUGGUAAUCGUCGCGGCCACGCCGUUAAACCCCAACUUCUGAAUGUUGACCUCGGAUCAGGUAGGAAUACCCGCUGAACUUAAGCAUAUCAAUAGGCCGGAGGA